GAUGAACGCUGGCGGCGUGCCUAAUACAUGCAAGUCGAGCGAACAGAUGAGGAGCUUGCUCCUCUGACGUUAGCGGCGGACGGGUGAGUAACACGUGGAUAACCUACCUAUAAGACUGGGAUAACUUCGGGAAACCGGAGCUAAUACCGGAUAAUAUAUUGAACCGCAUGGUUCAAUAGUGAAAGACGGUUUUGCUGUCACUUAUAGAUGGAUCCGCGCCGCAUUAGCUAGUUGGUAAGGUAACGGCUUACCAAGGCAACGAUGCGUAGCCGACCUGAGAGGGUGAUCGGUCACACUGGAACUGAGACACGGUCCAGACUCCGACGGGAGGCAGCAGUAGGGAAUCUUCCGCAAUGGGCGAAAGCCUGACGGAGCAACGCCGCGUGAGUGAUGAAGGUCUUCGGAUCGUAAAACUCUGUUAUUAGGGAAGAACAAAUGUGUAAGUAACUAUGCACGUCUUGACGGUACCUAAUCAGAAAGCCACGGCUAACUACGUG
rnacentral:rRNA from 1 species